GGCUCCAUUUGACUCGUCGACAAAUUAACUCACAGACAUGUGUAUAAUAUAAAUACAUAGUGUGUGUAUAUAUAAAUGAUGUUCAUAGCAGCAAACUAGUAGGAUCUCUUGUUACUUGCCUCAACACCAUUUCACAAUGUUCUUCAAUUAGUAUUUUGGAAUAUUUGAGCUCUAAAUAAGCUCUUGCAUUCGACACAACGACGUCGGAUAACCGGCGGAAAAACUUAUCCAGGCAUGGGUAUGGAGUAUAACUUUAGUUAUUUGUAGCUGCAUUGCCAUGGCUACACUCCAUAUCCAGUCCUGGCUAAGUUUCUUCUGCUGCUGCUGCUUCUUUUUUCGUAUAUGUCCAAUCUCAAACUUAGGAUUGGAUUGAAAACCAUAUCUUUGGAGUAUUUACUUUUGAGGAUUGAUUAGCCUAGAAAUAUAAGGUUAAAAGCACCUCCAAAGGCAGCGGUAGAAUAGCAGCUGCCGCUAUUUGAGCAGUGGAAUCAUCUCCAGCAGCGCACUUCACGCUACUGUAAAAUAAAGGGACUGAACACUCGUGCUUCAUGUAUUCAUUCUGCUACUUCUUUUUUUCUUCUUUUUUUAUUGUAUUUGUUUUUUCUUUUAUGUUUAGAAAUAUGUGCUUAUUUUUAUUUGAUUUAA